rnacentral:rRNA from 1 species
ACGCGUUAAAUCGUCCGCCUGGGGAGUACGGCCGCAAGGUUAAAACUCAAAUGAAUUGACGGGGGCCCGCACAAGCGGUGGAGCAUGUGGUUUAAUUCGAUGCAACGCGAAGAACCUUACCUGGUCUUGACAUCCACAGAACUUUCCAGAGAUGGAUUGGUGCCUUCGGGAACUGUGAGACAGGUGCUGCAUGGCUGUCGUCAGCUCGUGUUGUGAAAUGUUGGGUUAAGUCCCGCAACGAGCGCAACCCUUAUCCUUUGUUGCCAGCGGUUAGGCCGGGAACUCAAAGGAGACUGCCAGUGAUAAACUGGAGGAAGGUGGGGAUGACGUCAAGUCAUCAUGGCCCUUACGACCAGGGUUACACACGUGCUACAAUGGCGCAUACAAAGAGAAGCGACCUCGCGAGAGCAAGCGGACCUCAUAAAGUGCGUCGUAGUCCGGAUUGGAGUCUGCAACUCGACUCCAAGAGUUUGAUAUUGGUUGUAAUUGUAG